CAGUGGGUGAGAGUCCCACCCGGCAACUGGUCGUUCCAGCCGGAAGCAGUCGGGGCGGUGAGAGGAGGCAACAAGUUUCGCUGAAGCACUCCGAUGAAGAAGGGUCGCGAGAGGCGACUCAGCAAGCAUGCAGGCCGUAACGUGA
rfam:Freshwater sediment metagenome lwFormaldehyde_BCIB36221_b1, whole genome shotgun sequence.